AACGAACGCUGGCGGCGUGCCUAACACAUGCAAGUCGAACGAGAAAGGGGCUUCGGCUCCGAGUAGAGUGGCGCACGGGUGAGUAACACGUGGGUAACCUGCCUCUAAGAUUGGGAUAACUCGUCGAAAGAUGAGCUAAUACCGGAUAAGACCACAGUUCCUGCGGGAACAGGGGUCAAAGGUAGCCUCUGCUUGCAAGCUAUCACUUAGAGAUGGGCCUGCGCACCAUUAGCUAGUUGGUAGGGUAACGGCCUACCAAGGCAAAGAUGGUUAGCUGUUCUGAGGGGAGGAACGGCCACACUGGGACUGAGACAAGUGGCAGACUCCUACGGGAGACAGACGUGGGGAAUAUUGCGCAAUGGGCGAAAGCUUGACGCAGCAACGCCGCGUGAGUGAUGAAGGCCUUCGGGUCGUAAAGCGCUGUCGGGAGGAACGAAUGCUCCUGAGGUUAACAGCCUCGGGAGGUGACGGUACCUCCAAAGGAAGCACCGGCUAACUCUGUGCCAGCAGCCGCGGUAA
rnacentral:rRNA from 1 species